GACAGAGGUGCCGAGCGUUAGGCGGAAUCACUGGGCUUAAAGCGUGUGUAGGCGGGCGGGCAAGUACCUUGUGAAAUCCCACGGCUCAACCGUGGAACUGCUGGGUAUACUGCCUGUCUUGAGCCAGCCAGGGGCAGUCGGAACAGACGGUGGAGCGGUGAAAUGCGUAGAUAUCAUUUGGAACGCCAAUGGUGAAAACAGGUAGCUGGGAGUGUGCUGACGCUGAGACACGAAAGCCAGGGGAGCGAACGGG
rnacentral:rRNA from 1 species